rnacentral:rRNA from 1 species
AGCGAACGCUGGCGGCAGGCCUAACACAUGCAAGUCGAACGAACCUUUCGGGGUUAGUGGCGGACGGGUGAGUAACACGUGGGAACGUGCCUUUAAGUUCGGAAUAACUCAGGGAAACUUGUGCUAAUACCGAAUGUGCCCUUCGGGGGAAAGAUUUAUCGCCUUUAGAGCGGCCCGCGUCUGAUUAGCUAGUUGGUUGAGGUAAUGGCUCACCAAGGCGACGAUCAGUAGCUGGUCUGAGAGGAUGAUCAGCCACAUUGGGACUGAGACACGGCCCAAACUCCUACGGGAAGCAGCAGUGGGGAAUCUUGCGCAAUGGGCGAAAGCAUGACGCAGCCAUGCCGCGUGAAUGAUGAAGGUCUUAGGAUUGUAAAAUUCUUUCACCGGGGACGAUAAUGACGGUACCCGGAGAAGAAGCCCCGGCUAACUUCGUG